rnacentral:rRNA from 1 species
UACGUAGGGGGCAAGCGUUGUCCGGAAUCACUGGGCGUAAAGCGCGCGCAGGCGGCGGCUUAAGUCCUCUGUGAAAUCACCCGGCUCAACUGGGUGGCUGCGGAGGAGACUGGGUUGCUAGAGGGGCCUAGAGGCCGGUGGAACUCCCGGUGUAGUGGUGAAAUGCGUAGAGAUCGGGAAGAACACCAGUGGCGAAGGCGGCCGGCUGGGGGCGCCCUGACGCUGAGGCGCGAGAGCGUGGGGAGCAAACCGG